rnacentral:rRNA from 1 species
UUGGAGGGCAAGUCUGGUGCCAGCAGCCGCGGUAAUUCCAGCUCCAAUAGCGUAUAUUAAAGUUGUUGCAGUUAAAAAGCUCGUAGUUGAAUUUCGGGAUCAAUUUAUCGGUCGUGCCAAUGGUAUGAACUGGUACAAUUGGUUUCUCCCUUCUGACGAAGCAUGAUGUCAUUAAUUUGGUGUCGUGGGGAAUCAGGACUGUUACUUUGAAAAAAUUAGAGUGUUUAAAGCAAGCAUUAGCUUGAAUACAUUAGCAUGGAAUAAUGAAAUAGGACGUUUGAUCCUAUUUCGUUGGUUUCUAGGAUCGAUGUAAUGAUUAAUAGGGAUAGUUGGGGGCAUUAGUAUUCAAUUGUCAGAGGUGAAAUUCUUGGAUUUAUUGAAGACUAACUACUGCGAAAGCAUUUGCCAAGGAUGUUUUCAUUAAUCAAGAACGAAAGUUAGGGGAUCGAAGACGAUCAGAUACCGUCGUAGUCUUAACCAUAAACUAUGCCGACUAGGGAUCGGAUGAUGUUAAUUUUUUAAUGACUCAUUCGGCGCCUUACGGGAAAC